rnacentral:rRNA from 1 species
AAUGAACGUUGGCGGCGUGGAUUAGGCAUGCAAGUCGAGCGAGAACCCAGCAAUGGGGGACAGCGGCGAAAGGGACAGUAAUGUGUAGAUCAUCUGCCCUCAGGCCCGGGAUAGCUGCGGGAAACUGCAGGUAAUACCGGAUAAUAUCUCCGGAUCAGAGGUGUGAUUCCGCCUGGGGAUGAGUCUACAUCCUAUUAGCUUGUUGGUGGGGUAAUGGCCUACCAAGGCGAUGAUGGGUAGCGGGUGUGAGAGCACGACCCGCGUCAUUGGGACUGAGACACUGCCCAGACACCUACGGGUGGCUGCAGUCGAGAAUCUUCGGCAAUGGACUAAAGUCUGACCGAGCGACGCCGCGUGCGGGAUGAAGGCCUUCGGGUUGUAAACCGCGAAAGUAGGGAGGAAGGCUUCGUGAAGAACGAGGUUUGACCGAUCUACAGUAAGGACGGGCUAAGUACGUGCCAGCAGCCGCGGUAAUAC